rnacentral:rRNA from 1 species
GACGAACGCUGGCGGCGUGCUUAACACAUGCAAGUCGAACGGAAAGGCCCUGCUUUUGUGGGGUGCUCGAGUGGCGAACGGGUGAGUAACACGUGAGUAACCUGCCCUUGACUUUGGGAUAACUUCAGGAAACUGGGGCUAAUACCGGAUAGGAGCUCCUGCUGCAUGGUGGGGGUUGGAAAGUUUCGGCGGUUGGGGAUGGACUCGCGGCUUAUCAGCUUGUUGGUGGGGUAGUGGCUUACCAAGGCUUUGACGGGUAGCCGGCCUGAGAGGGUGACCGGCCACAUUGGGACUGAGAUACGGCCCAGACUCCUACGGGAGGCAGCAGUGGGGAAUAUUGCACAAUGGGCGGAAGCCUGAUGCAGCAACGCCGCGUGCGGGAUGACGGCCUUCGAGUGAUAAACCACUUUCGCCUGUGACGAAGCGUGAGUGACGGUAAUGGGUAAAGAAGCACCGGCUAACUACGUG